rnacentral:rRNA from 1 species
UAGGGAAUCUUCGGCAAUGGGGGCAACCCUGACCGAGCAACGCCGCGUGAGUGAAGAAGGUUUUCGGAUCGUAAAGCUCUGUUGUAAGAGAAGAACGUGUGUGAGAGUGGAAAGUUCACACAGUGACGGUAACUUACCAGAAAGGGACGGCUAACUACGUGCCAGCAGCCGCGGUAAUACGUAGGUCCCGAGCGUUGUCCGGAUUUAUUGGGCGUAAAGCGAGCGCAGGCGGUUUAAUAAGUCUGAAGUUAAAGGCAGUGGCUUAACCAUUGUGCGCUUUGGAAACUGUUAGGUGUGAGUGCAGAAGGGGAGAGUGGAAUUCCAUGUGUAGCGGUGAAAUGCGUAGAUAUAUGGGGGGACACCGGUGGCGAAAGAGGCGCUCUGGUCUGUAGCAGACGCUGAGGCUCGAAAGCGUGGGGGGCAAACAGG